rnacentral:rRNA from 1 species
AGGAUGAACGCUAGCGGUAUGCCUAACACAUGCAAGUCGAACGAGAAUUAAUCCCGGUUAUUCUAGUGGCGGACGGGUGAGUAACACGUGAGAAUUCGCUUUUAGGAGGGGGAUAACGGAUGGAAACAUUCGCUAAAACCCCAUAUGCCCUCGGGUGAAAAAGAGAAAGUAAGUCAUACUGAUUUAUCUCUGCCUGAAGAGAAGCUCGCGGCUGAUUAGCUAGUUGGUAGGGUAAAGGCCUACCAAGGCGACGAUCAGUAGCUGGUCUGAGAGGACGAUCAGCCACACUGGAACUGAGACACGGUCCAGACUCCUACGGGAGGCAGCAGUGAGGAAUUUUCUGCAAUGGGCGAAAGCCUGACAGAGCAAUACCGCGUGGGGGAUGAAGACUUACUGAGUUGUAAACCUCGGUACCCUAAGGAAGAAGAUAUGACGGUACUUAGGGUGGAAAGCAUCGGCUAACUCCGUGCCAGCAGCCGCGGUAAGACGGGGGAUGCAAGUGUUAUCCGGAUUUACUGGGCGUAAAGCGUCUGCAGGUGGUUUCUUAAGUCUACUGUUAAAUCUUGAGGCUCAACCUUAAAUCUGCAGUAGAAACUAGGAGACUUGAGUAUAGUAGGGGUAGAGGGAAUUUCCAGUGGAGCGGUGAAAUGCGUAGAUAUUGGAAAGAACACCGAUGGCGAAGGCACUCUACUGGGCUAUUACUGACACUCAGAGACGAAAGCUACGGGAGCAAAUGGGAUUAGAUACCCCAGUAGUCCUAGCCGUAAACGAUGGAUACUCGAUGUCGGACGUAUCGACCCGUUCAGUAUCUUAGCUAACGCGUUAAGUAUCCCGNCUGGGGAGUACGCUCGC